CCUACGGGGUGCAGCAGUGAGGAAUAUUGGUCAAUGGACGCAAGUCUGAACCAGCCAUGCCGCGUGCAGGAAGACGGCUCUAUGAGUUGUAAACUGCUUUUGUACGAGGGUAAACGCAGAUACGCGUAUCUGUCUGAAAGUAUCGUACGAAUAAGGAUCGGCUAACUCCGUGCCAGAAGCCGCGGUAAUACGGAGGAUUCAAGCGUUAUCCGGAUUUAUUGGGUUUAAGGGUUGAGUAGGCGGUCGGAUAAGUAAGUGGUCAAAUUGAGGGGGUCAAACCCUUCCCGCCAUUGAAACUGGCGCUCUUGAGUGGAAGAGAAGUAUGCGGAAGGCGUGGUGUAGCGGUGAAAUGCAUAGAUAUCACGCAGAACCCCGAUUGCGAAGGCAGCAUGCCGGCUUCCGACUGACGCUGAAGCACGAAAGCGUGGGGAUCGAACAGGAUUAGAUACCCGAGUAGUC
rnacentral:rRNA from 1 species